rfam:Triticum aestivum genome assembly, contig: Triticum_aestivum_CS42_TGACv1_scaffold_557234_7AL
CAAAUACUUCCUUAGUUUCAAAUUACUCGUUGUAGAAAUGGAUGUAUCUAAAAUUAAAAUACAUCUAGAUACAUCCAUACCUGCGACAAGUAAUUCGAAACAAAGGAAGUACAAA